rnacentral:misc_RNA from 1 species
GAUGAAGAACGUAGCGAAAUGCGAUACGUAAUGUGAAUUGCAGAAUUCAGUGAAUCAUCGAAUCUUUGAACGCAUAUUGCGCUCUCUGGUAUUCCGGAGAGCAUGCUUGUUUGAGUAUCAGUAAACACCUCAACUCCCCUUUCUUUUUUUGAAAUGGGAGCUGGACUUGAGUGAUCCCAACGCUUUUCUCACCGAAAAGUGGCGGGUUACUUGAAAUGCAGGUGCAGCUGGACUUUUCUCUGAGCUAAAAGCAUAUCUAUUUAGUCUGCCUAAAAAACAGAUUAUUACCUUUGCUGCAGCUAACAUAAAGGAGAUUAGUUCUUGUGCUGACUGAUGCAGGAUUCACAGAGACAGCUUCGGCUGGCCUUUGAAAACUCGAUCUCAAAUCAAGUAAGACUACCCGCUGAACUUAAGCAUAUCAAUAAGCGGAGGA